UGUGGUUUGUACUGUCUGGGAGCAGCCAAGGACAAGUUACCUCUUGUCUUCUAUCCUUGGCCUUCCUAGGUGUCCAAGCUCACAG
ensembl:miRNA Mir3075 microRNA 3075